UUGAUCCUGGCUCAGGAUGAACGCUGAGCGGCAGGCUUAACACAUGCAAGUCGAGGGGUAAGUCCUACUUGUAGGAAACACGACCGGCGCACGGGUGAGUAACGCGUAUGCAACCUGCCUCUAACUGGGGCAUAGCCCGAAGAAAUUCGGAUUAAUUUCCCAUAUUAUUCAAUGAUCGCAUGAUGAUUGAAUGAAAGCUCCGGCGGUUAGAGAUGGGCAUGCGGGUCAUUAGCUUGUUGGUGAGGUAACGGCUCACCAAGGCUGCGAUGACUAGGGGGCCUGAGAGGGUGAUCCCCCACACUGGUACUGAGACACGGACCAGACUUCUACGGAAGGCAGCAGUGAGGAAUAUUGGGCAAUGGAGGCAACUCUGACCCAGCCAUGCCGCGUGCAGGAUGACGGCCCUAUGGGUUGUAAACUGCUUUUCUGAGAGAAGAAUCCCCCCGAAUUUUCGGGGGUUGCCGGUAUCUCAGGAAUAAGCAUCGGCUAACUCCGUGCCAGCAGCCGCGGUAAUACGGAGGAUGCAAGCGUUAUCCGGAUUCAUUGGGUUUAAAGGGUGCGUAGGCGGGAAAGUAAGUCAGUGGUGAAAGCCUGCAGCUCAACUGUGGAACUGCCAUCGAUACUGCUUUUCUUGAGUUUGGUUGAGGUAGGCGGAAUGUGUAAUGUAGCGGUGAAAUGCUUAGAUAUUACACAGAACACCGAUUGCGAAGGCAGCUUACUAAACCGAUACUGACGCUGAUGCACGAAAGCGUGGGGAGCGAACAGGAUUAGAUACCCUGGUAGUCCACGCUGUAAACUAUGAUCACUCGCUGUUGGCAAUACAUCGUCAGCGGCUGAGCGAAAGCAUUAAGUGAUCCACCUGGGGAGUACGGUCGCAAGAUUGAAACUCAAAGGAAUUGACGGGGGCCCGCACAAGCGGUGGAACAUGUGGUUUAAUUCGAUGAUUACGCGAGGAACCUUACCUGGGCUUAAAUGUAGACUUGCAUCUCCGGGAAACCGGAAUUCCUUCGGGACCGUCU
rnacentral:rRNA from 1 species